ACAGCCAUAUCACAUUCAAACAUUGGUUCCUGUACAAUCAUCAAAGUCAAGCAACGUCGAGCCUGUUCAGUACUGAGAUGGGUGACCACUUGGGAAUACCAAGUGCUGUAAG